UUUCUCCAUCAAGCAUUCAAAAAGGCCAAGCUACACACCGUAACAUUAACCUUGAACUUGGAACUCUUAAGAAAGUGCCCAGUUUUAUUUGGGGAAAAGAUCUCUGCCAGCAAAGCCGAUCCUUAAUUUGGGAAAUAAGAGGUUCACCUGUCUGAGGAGAGAUGAUGAGAUGGCUCUGGGAUGGGCCUCUCUGGCCAUUUCAAGGAGCAAGCGGUUCAGGGUUUGACCAGCUGUGACUCUCCACUGUAUCCAGAGUUCCCGCUGCUGGCAUGGAAACCUGACAUUGACCUCACUUCUUGU
rnacentral:lncRNA from 1 species